GAUGAACGCUGGCGGCACGCCUAACACAUGCAGGUCGAACGGAACGAAGAAGUGCUUGCACUUCUGAAGUUUAGUGGCGGACGGGUGAGUAACACGUGAGCAACCUGCCUUUCAGAGGGGAAUAACGUUUGGAAACGAACGCUAAUACCGCACAAUAUAAUUUUAUGGCAUCAUAGAAUUAUCAAAGAUUUAUCGCUGAAAGAUGGGCUCGCGUCUGAUUAGAUAGUUGGUGAGGUAAUGGCUCACCAAGUCGACGAUCAGUAGCCGGACUGAGAGGUUGAACGGCCAUAUUGGGACUGAGACACGGCCCAGACUCCUACGGGAGGCAGCAGUGGGGGAUAUUGCACAAUGGGGGAACCCUGAUGCAGCGAUGCCGCGUGAGGGAAGAAGGUUUUCGGAUUGUAAACCUCUGUCUUUAGGGAAAGAAAAAUGACGGUACCUAAGGAGGAAGCCACGGCUAACUAUGUGCCAGCCGCCGCUGUAAC
rnacentral:rRNA from 1 species